UGAGGAAUAUUGCGCAAUGGGCGAAAGCCUGACGCAGCGACGCCGCGUGGAGGAUGAAGGUUUUCGGAUUGUAAACUCCUGUUAAGUGGGAAGAAACGACAAAAUAUAAUACAUUUUUGUAACUGACGGUACCAUUAAAGAAAGCACCGGCUAACUUCGUGCCAGCAGCCGCGGUAAUACGAGGGGUGCAAGCGUUAUUCGGAAUUAUUGGGCGUAAAGGGUGCGUAGGCGGCGUAUUAAGUCAACUGUUAAAAGCCUCCAGCCUAGCUGGAGAUCAGCAGUAAGAUACUGGUAUGCUAGAGGAUGGAAGAGAGAAGUGGAAUUCUUGGAGUAGCGGUGGAAUGCGUAGAUCUCAAGAGGAACACCAAUGGCGAAGGCAGCUUCUUGGUCCAUAUCUGACGCUGAUGCACGAAAGCGUGGGGAGCAAACGGAUUAGAUACCCUGGUAGUCCACGCCGUAAACGAUGAUCACUAGAUGUUAAUUCUGCUUGCAGAAUUAGUGUCGUAGCUAACGCGAUAAGUGAUCCGCCUGGGGGACUACGGUCGCAAGAUU
rnacentral:rRNA from 1 species